GGGCGCAUAGCUCAGUCGGCCAGAGCAUCCGGCUUACAACCGGAAGGUCGCAGGUUCGAGCCCUGCUGCGCCCA
rnacentral:tRNA from 1 species